rnacentral:tRNA from 1 species
GCGGUUAUGGUGUAAUGGUAACACUAGGGUUUGUGGAUCCCUCAAUCCGAGUUCAAUUCUCGGUAACCGCCCA